GUGUCAGUAGGUUUUUUCCAUGAUGCCCCACAAGCCACAAAACCAGCAAGUUUUUAUUAGGGACUUUCAGAAGGGGAGGGAGUGUGCGAAUAGGUGUGGGUCACAGAGAUCACGUACUUCACAAGGUAAUAGAAUAUCACAAGGCAAAUGGAAGCAGGGCGAGAUCACAGGACCACAGGACUGGGGCGAAAUUAGAAUUUCUAAUGAGGUUUCAGGCACCAUUGUCAUUGAUAACAUCUUAUCAGGAGACAGGGUUUUGAGAGCAACCGGUCUGACCAAAAUUUAUUAGGUGGGAAUUUCCUCUUCCUAAUAAGCCUGGGAGCACUGUGGGAGACUGGGGUUUAUUUCAUCCCUACAGUCUCGACCAUAGAAGACGGCCACACCCAAGGGGGCCAUUUCAGAGACCCUCCCCCCAGGCACGUAUUCUCUUUCCCAGGGAUGUUCCUUGCUGAGAAAAAGAAUUCAGCAAUAUUUCUCCCAUUUGCUUUUGAAAGAAGAGAAAUAUGGCUCUGUUCCGCCCAGCUCACCAGCCGUCAGAGUUUAAGGUUAUCUCCCUUAUUCCCUAAACAAUUGCUAUUAUCCUGUUCUUUUUUCAAGGUGCCCAGAUUUCAUAUUGUUUAAACACACAUGCUCUACAAUUUGUGCAGUUAAGACAAUUAUCACAUGAGUCCUGAGGUGACAUACAUCCUCCUCAGCUAACAGGAUUAAGAGAUUAAAGUAAAGACAGGCAUAGGAAAUCACAAGGGUAUUGAUUGGGGAAGUGAUAAGUGUCCAUGAAAUCUUCACAAUUUAUGUUUAGAGACUGCAGUAAAGACAGGCAUAAGAAAUUAUAAAAGUAUUAAUUUGGGGAACUAAUAAAUGUCCAUGAAAUCUUCACAAUCCACAUUCUUCUGCCAUGGCUUCAGCCGGUCCCUCCGUUUGGGGUCCUUGACUUCCUGGAUGCAGUACAAGAUGCUGAGCUUCCUCUUUGCAUAUCAGAUUCUGCUUAACAUCAAUUGUAAGGUGAACAGAUUGGCUGAUAGAACAAUGUUGUCCUUCUCAUUUCCUUUUCCAAGGUUUCUUCAUUGGAUGAUCACAAGGUGAAGUCCCACGAUAGGCCAUAUGCAAGCUGAGGAGCAAGGAAGCCAGUAGUGGCUCAGUCCGAGUCCCUAAACCUCAAAAGUAGGGAAGCUGACAGUGCAGCCUUCAGUCUGUAGCCAAAGGCUGAAGGUCCCUGCCUGGUAAACCAAUGAUGUAAGUCCAAAAGUUCAAAAGCUGAAGAAUUUAGAGUCUGAUGUUCAAGGGCAGGAAGCAUCCAGCAUGGAAGAAAGAUGAAGUUGGG
rnacentral:lncRNA from 1 species